AAUUAACAAGAGUGCACACGCUGAAAUGUCUCGCCUUCUUUACUAAUCAUUGAUAUUAUGUUGAUAGUCCUAAAUAUAAAGCUUUAUUACAACUGUCACAUAAACUUAACAUUAACCAAGUAAACUAAACAUUGACCAAUGAACCAUGAAAAUGAGGUCAAGGUCAGAUGAACCAUGCUAGGCAGGCAUGUACAGCUAACAAUUCUUCCAUACAACAAAUAUAGUUGACCUAUUGCUUAUAGUUUAAGAAAAACAGACGAAAACACAAAAAAUUAACACUGAGCAAUGAACCUUGAAAAUGAGGUCAAGGUCAAAUAAAACCUGCGUAACUGACAUAUAGAUCAUAAAAUAUUUCCAUACACCAAAUAUAGUUGAACUAUUGCAUAUAGUAUUAGAAAAAAAGACCAAAACUCAAAAACUUAACUUUGACCACUGAACUAUGAAAAUGAGGUCAAGGUCAGAUGACACCUGCCAGUUGGACAUGUACACCUUACAGUCCUUCCAUACACCGAAUAUACUAGACCUAUUGCUUAUAGUAUCUGAGAUAUGGACUUGACCACCAAAACUUAACCUUGUUCACUGAUCCAUGAAAUGAGGUCGAGGUCAAGUGAAAACUGUCUGACGGGCAUGAGGACCUUGCAAGGUACGCACAUACCAAAUAUAGUUAUCCUAUUACUUAUAAUAAGAGAGAAUUUAACAUUACAAAAAAUCUGAACUUUUUUUUCAAGUAGUCACUGAACCAUGAAAAUGAGGUCAAGGACAUUGGACAUGUGACUGACGGAAACUUCGUAACAUGAGGCAUCCAUAUACAAAGUAUGAAGCAUCCAGGUCUUCCAUCUUCUAAAAUAUAAAGCUUUUAAGAAGUUAGCUAACGCCGCCGCCGCCGCCGCCGCCGUAGCCGCCGCCGCCGCCGCCGGAUCGCUAUCCCUAUGUCGAGCUUUCUGCGACAAAAGUCGCAGGCUCGACAAAAAUCUAAAAACACGGUUAGAUUUGGCAUAUCAAAGAACCCCAAUAAUUCAAUUUUUGAUGAAAUCAAAAAAGUUUGAUUUUGGACCCUUUUGACCUCAAUAUGAACCAAUUUGAUAGCGGGCCCACAAAUAAAAAAUCUAAAUACAAGGUAAGAUUCAGCAUAUCAAAGAACCCCAUAUAUUCAAUUUUUGUUGAAAUCAAACAAAGUUAAAUUUUGUUGGACCCCAACUUGGACCAACUUGAAAACUGGGCUCAUAAUCAAAAAUAUAAACACAUGUUUAGAUUCAGCAUAUCAAAGAACCCCAAAAAUUCAAUUUUUGUUAAAAUCAAACUAAGUUUAAUUUUGGAUCCUUUGGACCUUAAUGUAGACCAAUUUAAAUAAAAUGCUCCGCAGGGCGCAGCUUGAUACGACCGCAGAGGUCGAACCCUGAACAGUUGGGGCAAGUAUGGACACAACAUUCAAGCUUGAUACAGCUUUGCAUUUGGAUUGUGAUUAAAUAUUUGACACAACAUAGGUUUCUGACACAGAAUGAAUGUGGUCUAAGAACUUAAAAAUUUUAAAUUGGACAUUCACCUAUUAUGGUCCAAUAUCCAAAAUCUAAAUACAUGGUUAGAUUCAGCAUAUCAAAGAACCCCAAGAAUUCAAUUUUUGAUGAAAUCAAACAAA